GACGAACGCUGGCGGCGUGCUUAACACAUGCAAGUCGAACGGUGAAAGCGGAGCUUGCUCCGCUGGAUCAGUGGCGAACGGGUGAGUAACACGUGGGCAACCUGCCCCUCACUUCGGGAUAACUCCGGGAAACCGGGGCUAAUACCGGAUAUGACCUCCUUGGGCAUCCUUGGAGGUGGAAAGUUUUUCGGUGAGGGAUGGGCCCGCGGCCUAUCAGCUUGUUGGUGAGGUAGUGGCUCACCAAGGCGACGACGGGUAGCCGGCCUGAGAGGGCGACCGGCCACACUGGGACUACGACACGGCCCAGACUCCUACGGGAGGCAGCAGUGAGGAAUAUUGCGCAAUGGUCGAAAGCCUGACGCAGCAACGCCGCGUGCGGGAUGACGGCCUUCGGGUUGUAAACCGCUUUCAGCAGGGAAGAAGCCGCAAGGUGACGGUACCUGCAGAAGAAGCACCGGCUAACUACGUGCCAGCCGCCGCGGUAAGAC
rnacentral:rRNA from 1 species